AGAAGGCGCAGGCGCUGUAGUGGGUUCCUUGGUCGGCGGGACUACGAAGUAAGAGGAACUCGGGGGCGGAGAAGGGAAACCGCCGCCCGGCUCAGCAGUGCCUUGAGGGGGCACUGCUGAGCAGCCUCUGCCCCCAUCCGCAGCCCGCCCUCCGCAGCCUGUUCAGCCGCUGGCCCAGGAGGCUGAUGGAGGCACGGCGGUGGCCUCACCCGGACACGGUACUGGCUGGCCUGUGACGACGGGAAGGACUAACUCUCAGGAUUGAAAGGGACCUUCCAGGUCAUCUGUUCAAACGUCUCACCCUGUCAUGGAAGAAACAGAACUGGGUUUUAUUGUUUGUUUUUUUCUGAGUACAUACUAUGUACAAGGCCCCAAACAAAGAUAGACACAGCAUUCUCCCCACCUGCAGUGAAAACUAGUGGCAGAGGCAAAGAAAGGAAGAGUUGCAGUACAGUGUCAAGAUAGAGUUCCCGGACCAGGGAUUGAACCCAUGGCCCCUGCAGUGGAAGCACGGACUCUUAACCACUGGACUGCCAGGGAAGUCCCCAGUUUGCCUACUUUCAGUCUUACUUCCCUCCAAACCAUAUUUCACACUGUCACCAGGUCAGUCCUUUUAAAAGGCAAAUCCCAUUCAUUCAUUUGUUCAUGAAGUAUGAAUGGAGCAGCAACUCUGUGCCAGGCAGGCAAUGAUCACAUUUCUGUACUUGAAACCUUCAAUGGCUCAUGAUUACCCACAAAAUCGAGUUUAAAUUCUCAUAUAUGGCAUACAAGUCCUCCGUGAACUGGCCUUUCUCCUCCCUCUAAAGCUUCAUUCCUCA